CAGGUCUCGGCUGGCCCCGGAGCCAGGGGGACGCGGCGGGCGGGUCGUGCGUGCCAAGCGCGACAUGGCGCGGAAGCCGAGAAGCCCCGGAGGCCCAGUGAGCACGGGGAGGGGCUAGACGCUAGCUGGACAACCAUUAGCAGGCUGGGGCCGGGCGGCUCGGGGACUACAUUUCCCAGGACACCAAGCGCUCGCGCCCGGAAGCGACGCGCCUUGGGCUCAGUGCGCAGGCGCCGCCAUAGUCUAUAUAAGGCAGGUUCGCGGCUACUUUCGCCCUUUGGUUCCUGCGACUCCAUGAGCGCGUGCUCUGUUUCCGAAAUGUCUCGUCCCUGCGGGGUUAACGCGCAGAUGGUUGGCCUGAUCAAGCAGGACAGAAUGGAGGUUGGAGGGAGAGAAGAGCAUCGAGGGAGAUGAGGAUUCACCUACCAUCUUAAGUCUGAAGGUUUGCUGACAGCCAAAGCCUGGCUUUGAAUGGAGCAUGAACUCCGGAGGGGAGAGCAUUGGCCUGAGGGAGCUGAGGACGCCGGUGUUGGUCUGAUCUUGGUUUCAGGUACUUUUGGAAUACAGAAUACCAGCUGUUCUGCUGCCCAGCGCCACAAGGCUAUGCAGAAUGCAGAGUUACUGUUUGGCUGGGGAGUGGUGGUAUUGUGUGCACUACUGCUGGAAAUAAUAGGAAAUAUUGGCCGUCUAUCUGUAGAAAUAAAAGUCUGAUUGAUGAUUUCAUUUA